GGUUAAGUUUACAGAUGGUUCUGUAGUGGAUCUGCAAAGUCCGUAUUAAAGGUUCGAUUCCUUCUUAGCCC
rnacentral:tRNA from 1 species